rnacentral:rRNA from 1 species
UGAGUAACCUGCCCUUAACUCUGGGAUAAGCCUGGGAAACUGGGUCUAAUACCGGAUAUGACUCCUCAUCGCAUGGUGGGGGGUGGAAAGCUUUUUGUGGUUUUGGAUGGACUCGCGGCCUAUCAGCUUGUUGGUGGGGUAAUGGCCUACCAAGGCGACGACGGGUAGCCGGCCUGAGAGGGCGACCGGCCACACUGGGACCGAGACACGGCCCAGACUCCUACGGGAGGCAG